GGUAGCGUAGCUCAGAUGGUUAGAGCGCGGGACUCAUAAGCCUGAGGUCGGCAGUUCAAUUCUGCCCGCUACCACCA
rnacentral:tRNA from 2 species